GCCUUACAGCCUUUCCGAGGUUCUUCUUCGCCAGCCGAAGAAGCUAAGAGGGAACAGGGUUCAUGCCCUGGCUGCCCCCGCAACUGUGAACGGAUGACAUCCUUCGAAACGCCACUGCCCUGAAUGGGUGGGAAGGCGAAGGAUCAGGAGCCCCCCGGGCUCCACGCCGUGAGCCAGGAGACCUGCCUCGCAAACGUUUCGACAA
rnacentral:ncRNA from 1 species